UAACUUUAAUUAUGUCUCUCCCUCUCCAUCCCACUUUCUUCCUCUCUGUUAACUAGGGGCUAUAGAACAGGUGAACCCUGGUGCAGACACAGACAAGGAGACAGGAAUAAGAUUUUUCAAACCAAAAGAAGCAAGACAAGGAGCUUCUGUUCAACAUGGACAGAUUGCCUUGAGAUGCCGAAGAUCCCUCAGACUCCUGCCAGUGACCCUGUCAUCCCUCGACUACAGAAAUCAGAAGACAUGUGUGAGCCAAACUUUGAAGAAAACAAGAAGUCUUUCACUGACUGACACCAAUUUUCUAACCAUACUGUUACUUAAAAUAUCUAAAUACGCAGCUGCUGUCUCAGUCCUCACGCAUGAAUCUCAACAGUUAUUAACAUGUGAUUACAUUUUCAUUCACUUCACAUUACCUUCACUAAAUGCAUAGCCAUAAACUCAUAUCAAAGGAAGUUCAGCAUCAGGGUUGGUAACAAGCAAGUCAGGAUAGAGUAGGAGAGAGAUAGAGUAGUUCUCCUGACUAAUAGAGGAGCAGGACUGAUUGCUCUAAUCUGUGCAAAUCAACCAAUGCCCCUGCUUGUCAGCUAGACAGGUUGUGUGUGAGGAAUGAGAAGGAAAUAAUGUGUUCAGACAUAUUUAGGGAACAUUUUUGGAAUACUCAUACUCAGCAUACAGAUUGACAGCAGACAUGUGGAUCUUAGGAGGAGCACUGAGUUUAACAUUUUUAAAACCAGAUUUUUCUGAUGUCAAUAAAAUGCAGAUUUGUAGAUUUAGGAAGCACUAAAAUAACAAAGUGGACCCUUUCUUUAGUUUUUGGCAAUAUUUAUGGAGGUAAUUAAACACAUUUUCAGUUUAUUUUUGGUAAUAAUACUGAGCCCUGGCACUAAGUGUCUGGCAAAGAUUCGGCCCAGACUGUUAACAGCGCUGCGGCUGUACCUCUCAGCUGAGACUAUGCCAAAUCGGCCUGCCCAGACUACGUGAUGUCGGGCCCAGUGUUUUUGUUCCAG